GGGGUCGUGGUCAAGCGGCUAAGACACCGCCCUUUCACGGCGGUAACGAUGGGUUCGAUUCCCUCCGACCUCA
rnacentral:tRNA from 1 species